rnacentral:rRNA from 1 species
UACGUAGGGUGCGAGCGUUGUCCGGAAUUACUGGGCGUAAAGAGCUCGUAGGCGGUUUGUCGCGUCGUCCGUGAAAACUUGGGGCUCAACCCCAAGCUUGCGGGCGAUACGGGCAGACUUGAGUACUGCAGGGGAGACUGGAAUUCCUGGUGUAGCGGUGAAAUGCGUAGAUAUCGGGAGGAACACCAGUGGCGAAGGCGACUACCUGGCCUGUUCUUGACGCUGAGGCGCGAAAGCCAGGGGAGCAAACGGG